UUUGGACGCCCACUAUAGAGACGUUUUUGGUGUCCAACAACAAGACCAACCUAAUUAUGAGAGGAACUUGUUGAUAGGAGUAAGUACUGGGAUGACUUGGAGGAAGGGGAGGAAUAGAUGGAAGAAGAGGAAUUGGAGUUUCCCGUAGUAGGCCAACUGGUGUGAAGGCACCUGACGUCAUUGAUCUUCGAAAGUAAUAAAGGAAAGAGCCAAGGAAGCCUAUUGACCAAAUGAGUACAUUGAAAGAUUUUGGGCACAAUCUUCUAGUACUCGAAGAGAAGGAAGAAAGGAUUGCACCAGGAACCUUACUUGGAACAACGCACAUGUAUGUGCUUGGGGCAAUGGAUAAAACUGGUGCUAAAAGGGUUGAGCUACUACUAGGACUAAGUAGAUGUCACUCUUUGGUUGGAAGAAUUAGAGGCUUUGGAUGAUGUUACUAUGGCAGCAAAGUAAGCAAGGGAAGAGGAGAAACUAUAAAAUCAACGCAAAGGACUUCAGUGACAUUGUGGCAGAGGCUAAGAAAAAGAGGAAUCGCAAGAUGUAGGAAAAAGAAAGGGAAGGCAAAUAAGAAGGAUUUCAAGUUUUAGGCACAAAGCUAUACAUCAAAUUUGCAUGCUCCCCCUCCCCCAUUGGAUAUAUUCUGUUUGGGGAAUAUACUAUGAACUCUGAAAUUUGAAAUAUCUGAUACAUUGAAAGUUCUUAUCGAUAUGUAAAAUGUGAAGUUCUUUGGUUGAUCUUGAGCCCAUCUUGGUUCGAUUAAUAAAUGGACAAGGCAGCUAGCUACUAUUGAGGUAGGAGUGAUGUUUAAAGGGAAUUUGAUUAGUGAAUCCAUUAUGAGAUCGUCAAAGAAUCUUAACAGUGCCUGAAGUUGGUGGAAAGUUAGAAGUUGUUUUAUUUUC